rnacentral:ncRNA from 7 species
UAUUGCACUUGUCCCGGCCUG